GAAAGGGCUGAUAGGUGAAGAACCCGCGCAGGGCUGAU
rnacentral:snoRNA from 1 species